rnacentral:lncRNA from 1 species
AGGGAAUAUUUUGAAACUUUCUGAGCUUCCCUAUCGUAAAGGUGUAAAAUGAGGCUAUCUGUAUUUUCCCUGUAGGCUUACGUGUGAAGAUUGAAUGGGGCUAUAAAAAGUCUAUGGUGUGGGGAGUGCCUGACAUCUGGACAGCUUCCCUCGAUGGAGGUAACUGGAUACUGACUCUAUGGGAGAGCAGCGCUGGAAAGAGCAUGCUCAGAGUCUUCCUUAUGGCCCCAGUUGCCACCUCCCUCUAGUGACCCUCAGCCCUUUGGAACCAGCCGGCACUCUUUCCCACCUUGGCACCUACUACCGUCGGUUGGGCAGGCACUUCGGAGGGCACAAAAAUGAGUGAGAUGCUGUUCCAUCCUGCAAGGGGGUGACCAGGACUUAAAUUCUUACAAGGCCACUGUGUCAAAGUGGGUGUCGGCACAAGUUCCGG